rnacentral:lncRNA from 1 species
UUGAAACGUGUAUCCUUUUCAGCAAACCCACCCACCUAUGAUUUAAUUCUGUGCCAGCCACAAAGGAAUGUUUCUCUCUCUUCUCAGCACGACACCAGCAGCCCUCUGAUGGUCACACCGCCCUCUGCAGAGGCCCACUGGGCUGUGAGGGUGGAAGAAAAGGCCAAAUUUGAUGGGAUUUUUGAAAGCCUCUUGCCCAUCAAUGGUUUGCUCUCUGGAGACAAAGUCAAGCCAGUCCUCAUGAACUCAAAGCUGCCUCUUGAUGUCCUG